rnacentral:misc_RNA from 1 species
GUGAUAUGAUUGAUUCAGAUUUGAAGGAAAUUGGUAUUGCUGCUAAGAAGUUAGCUAAUCAUGCUAUCAUGCUUGGUGGAAUUGGUUUUGGCACUUCUUUUCUCAAAUGGAUUGCUUCUUUUGCUGCUAUUUACUUGUUGAUCUUGGAUCGAACCAACUGGAGGAGCAACAUACUCACAACUCUCCUAAUUCCUUACAUUUUCUUGAGUUUCCCUUCAUUACUCUUUGGUUUGUUCAGGGGAGAUUUCGGAAAAUGGCUGUCUUUGAUUGCUGUUAUAACGCGCCUAUUUUUCCCAAAACACUUUCCAGAUUGGCUUGAAGCACCAGCAGCAUUGGUCCUUCUGAUGGUAGUAUCUCCAAGUUUUUUGGCUGACACUAUAAGGGACAACUGGAUCGGUACGUUCAUUUGCCUUGUAAUUGGAUGCUAUCUGUUGCAAGAACACAUUAGAGCAUCUGGUGGAUUCAGAAAUUCUUUCACUAAAGCUCAUGGAAUUUCAAACACUAUUGGAAUCAUCCUUCUUCUGGUAUAUCCAGUCUGGGCAUUGAUUCUCCACUUUCUAUAAACAAACUAAAUUCCAUAAAUCAUGAUUGCUAUUUGUUUGGAGAAGAUCUGAGUGUGAUUGAUUUUCUAUCGUCUGGUAAUUUUGUGAAAGAUUGCUUGCUUGUUAUGUGUUUAUGUACCUAAAAUUCAUUUUUCCGUUUUACCUUGCUAUUUUUGGAUCUCUGUAUUUUUCCCUCAUAAAGUU